rnacentral:antisense_RNA from 1 species
CUUGAUCGAACCCAACCACAACGGCCGCUCGCGAUCCUGACCAUAGGUCGCCAACACCGCCUGCGCCUC